GUAGACGGCCAUCUUAGGCUGAGAACACCGUAUCCCGUUCGCUCUGCGAAGUUAAGCAGCCUCAAGCUCGGGUAGUACUCGGGUGGGUGACCACCGGGGAAGUCCGAGUGCUGUCUACU
rfam:Pythium ultimum DAOM BR144 ctg_1117875579659, whole genome shotgun sequence.